UUUUCAAGCUUUUUGGCCUUCUCGGACAAGAGAAACGAUGAAGCUUCUCCCCUUUUUCUCUUGCGCGCUCCUCCGCCUCCGCCUCCGCCUUCCCCUUCCCCAAAGCCGCCUUGGGUCACUACUGCUUGGAUCUGCCUUUGGCACGUCGCCUCCCCCAAGAGCCUCGCUCAGUCGCAGCUACUGGGUCCUGAGCCCCCUUCACCUCCGCCAUUGCCUCCGGAGCCUCAUCGCGCCGAUCUUUUGGGAACCUUAGCGACGUUUACUAUGGCCGCAACAUCUCUCUUAGCCUCAGAAACUUCUGGGUCUCCGUCCGAUUGUGUCCCUCCGACGAGCUCGUCAUCAUGCCUCACCCCAUCUAUGAUUUCGUCAUUUGGGAACAUUUUGGAUACCCGCAGCUGACGGUGUCGUUUUGGUGUUCUUUUUCCCCAACCGAGCUACAGAAAACCUUGGAACAUCGCGGUCGGGGAGGAUUAUCCGAAAUCAAAGACUCGUCUUCGCCGAGUUCACUGCACUCAGAGUCCCUGUAAUAUUUGGAUAGAAGAAGAUGUCGACCAUGUACGUAUUGGAGCCGCCGACGAAAGGGAAGAAAUGGCUACCGAGGCUAAGCCAAUUGCUCCCGUCCCUGAAUUGUGAAUUGGGUCGAGAUUGCGUAUUCAAUGCUCAAGAAUGGAUGGUGGAGUAGCUUCUUCGGGAUUGAGUUUGUGUUCUAUGGAGUUUUAAACAUAUCUUCAGUUUGAAGUGCACUCGCAUUGAAAACUUGGUUAGAUCUUUCAUUUGGUUUGUCUUAAAGAUAGAUUUUGUUGUGGGAAGAGGAAAUAUCCAAUUAUUUUGUCAGUUUGGCCUUUUGGCAACGAAAAUACUGAAGGAGGGUGAAGUCAUGUAGAAUCGAACUGUUGUAUGAACAGUAAUUAAGCUUAAUUUGCUUUGAGUGAAGUCCUUGAUCUUAAUAAUGCGUGUAGUAUUAUCAUGCUCUUCAAUAUUGUUUAAUUUCUAAAUUCAAAGGAAUUUGGUUUUCAAAUUCAUAACCUUGUCUAUACUUCUUGAUGGUCGGAUGAGCUAAUGUCUUGAUUGUGGGCAUUAAUGGUUGAAGCUAGCUAGAUUUGUGUAUUUAAGUUGGAUGAUCUUGUCAAUAUAUUUGUCAAUAAGCUGAUCAAACCUGCUGUCUGCUCGCAGUUAGGCAUUUCAAUGUAAAAUACCUUUUCCACUUUGUUAUUGUUCAAAUGAGGUGGUUGCUUAGCUGGUGGAUGAGAUUGUAUUGGCAAUGGUUGUGGUAAUGUAUGUGAUUGUGUCCAAUAAGUUUCAGUUUCCUUUAUUAUGUGGUCUGCAUAAGCCGCCUUGUUCUUUUUUACCCUGAUUUAUGUUGUUUACUUGCAGUUCAAGGUGGCGAUCCUACUCGCUCCAGCGCACGUCCCUUCUCUCGCUAUUGAAAUUGAAUUGCAGGGUUCGAGCAAAACCAAUUGGUUUAUUCUGUUAGCAUAGAGGGUUUUGUUGAUAGUUAUUGUUGCUGGUGAUGGCUGAUGUGUUAUCGUUGUUCUGUUGCAUUAGCUCAUGUGACACUAGAGCUUGCCUUAGUUCUUGCUUUAAUUUAGUGUAUUCUUUCUUUUUUGGGGUAAGGGAAGAACAAAAGAUUGACUUUGGCUGGGUUUUGCACAAAUAAAAGAGACAAUGUGCUCCAAGGAUGGUUCUCUGAAAAGGAAAUUGUGAAUAUAGAAACAUGUCAUUUACAAAUUCUUCAAUGUAGGUUAGGUCCUGUUGUUUGUUCUAUGUUCCCGCUUUUGCUUUCUCUUUGUGCCAUAAAUGUUGUGAGCUAGUGAUAAGGUUACUUAUUGUUUACUUUCUUGUGACAACAUAUGGCAAGUGCAAAUCUUCUUUUCUCACAUUGACAUGUAAUUUGUCAUUGCUUUUAGAUAACUGGAGUGUGAAGGCAGCCCAAAGAAAGACCAAGAAACUGGUAGGAUGGGGUAUCUCUGCAAUGACCCUUACAAGUUCGGGAGUGGUUUCAGAGAAGGUACUGAAGCCAUGCGAAGGAAGCACGUAGCACUGGCUUCUGCUUAAUUGUUAUGAUAGUUUUGGGACAUAAUCAUGUAAACUUGAAGAAUUUAGUUAUCUAGACGCUAGGAACUUUUGGCAUAUACAGUUGCCCUUUAAUAUACUUAGUUUAAAUUUCAUCUAUUGUGGCAUUAUUUGCAAUUUUGAAUGAGCAAAGAUUAAGCUUACCAUUGUUUUA